CCUACGGGGGGCUGCAGUGGGGGAUAUUGGACAAUGGGGGAAACCCUGAUCCAGCGACGCCGCGUGAGUGAAGAAGUAUUUCGGUAUGUAAAGCUCUAUCAGCAGGGAAGAAAGAAAUGACGGUACCUGAGUAAGAAGCCCCGGCUAACUACGUGCCAGCAGCCGCGGGAAUACGUAGGGGGCAAGCGUUAUCCGGAAUUUCUGGGUGUAAAGGGAGCGUAGACGGUAAUGCAAGUCUGGAGUGAAAGGCGGGGGCCCACCCCCCGGACUGCUCUGGAAACUGUGUAACUGGAGUGCAGGAGAGGCAGGCGGAAUUCCUAGUGUAGCGGUGAAAUGCGUAGAUAUUAGGAGGAACACCAGUGGCGAAGGCGGCCUGCUGGACUGUAACUGACGUUGAGGCUCGAAAGCGUGGGGAGCAAACAGGAUUAGAUACCCCUGAAGUC
rnacentral:rRNA from 1 species